UACAGAGGGUGCAAGCGUUGUUCGGAAUUACUGGGCGUAAAGCGCGCGCAGGCGGAUCCCGCAAGUCCGGAGUGAAAUCUCACUGCUCAACGGUGAGGCUGCUUUGGAUACUGCGGAUCUGGAGACCGGUAGAGGCUGGUAGAAUUGCAGGUGUAGCGGUGGAAUGCGUAGAGAUCUGAAGGAACAUCAGUGGCGAAAGCGACUUCCUGGACCAAUACUGACGCUCAUGUGCGAAAGCGUGGGGAGCAAACAGG
rnacentral:rRNA from 1 species